CUGGGCAAUAAUUCAAAAUGAUCAUUUAUCGACUUUUAAUGGACUCAUAUCGUGAUGAAAUCAUAUAUCAAGAUAUUGUAAUAUACAAUUACGUUGUCUAAAUUUAUAAUA